UUUCAAGCUAGUGGCGAACGGGUGAGUAACACGUGGGAAACCUACCUCUUAGCAGGGGAUAACAUUUGGAAACAGAUGCUAAUACCGUAUAACAAUAGCAACCGCAUGGUUGCUACUUAAAAGAUGGUUCUGCUAUCGCUAAGAGAUGGUCCCGCGGUGCAUUAGUUAGUUGGUGAGGUAAUGGCUCACCAAGACGAUGAUGCAUAGCCGAGUUGAGAGACUGAUCGGCCACAAUUGGACUGAGACACGGCCCAUACUCC
rnacentral:rRNA from 1 species